rnacentral:rRNA from 1 species
AGCUCCAAUAGCGUAUAUUAAUGUUGUUGCAGUUAAAAAGCUCGUAGUUGGAUUUCUGGUGGGGUUGUCGGCCUGGCUCCGAAAGGGGUUGUGGCUUGACACACCUUGCCAUCCUCGGGAGUAGCUUCGCUGGCAUUAAGUUGUCGGCGGAGUGACGCUCGUCGUUUACUGUGAACAAAUUAGAGUGUUCAAAGCAGGCUUAGGCCGUUGAAUACAUUAGCAUGGAAUAAUAAGAUAGGACUUUGGUGGUCUAUUUUGUUGGUUUGCACGCCGAAGUAAUGAUUAAUAGGGGCGGUUGGGGGUAUUCGUAUUCAAUUGUCAGAGGUGAAAUUCUUGGAUUUAUGGAAGACGAACUACUGCGAAAGCAUUUACCAAGGAUGUUUUCA